CAUCUUAGUGGCGGACGGGUGAGUAACGCGUGGGUAACCUGCCUUAUACAGGGGGAUAACACUUAGAAAUAGGUGCUAAUACCGCAUAAGCGCACGGGGCUGCAUGGCCCAGUGUGAAAAACUCCGGUGGUAUAAGAUGGACCCGCGUCUGAUUAGCUUGUUGGCGGGGUAACGGCCCACCAAAGCGACGAUCGGUAGCCGGCCUGAGAGGGCGGACGGCCACAUUGGGACUGAGACACGGCCCAAACUCCUACGGAAGGCAGCAG
rnacentral:rRNA from 1 species